AUCAUCAUGCUUACAAGGUUAUCUCUUCAUUAUCCCCUAUGCAUAUGCAACAAUCCUAUAUGAAACACUCUA
rnacentral:sRNA from 1 species